rnacentral:lncRNA from 1 species
GCUGCCGCUGGGCUGAGGCGCAGAGACCUGAUGCCCUCCUCCUUUCCUCGAAGAACGGAUGGAAGGAGUAGCUUGGAGGGACUGAUUGGCUUACUCAGGAUUCUUUGACCUUGCCUGGGAGAAUAGGUCAGGAGACAGAUGGCCCCAAGACCACCAAGAGCCCAUAUCCAGGGCUUCUCUCUCCCCAACUGAAGCUGAUCACCCAGUUGUAGCAAGGUGCAGAGCCAUGGAUGGAAGUACAAGAGGUUUUGUCAGAUACUCUGCAG